rnacentral:rRNA from 1 species
GAUCAUGGCUCAGGAUGAACGCUGGCGGCGUGCCUAACACAUGCAAGUCGAACGAAGCUUGACGGAUGAUUUCUUCGGAAUGAAACCUGAUAUGACUUAGUGGCGGACGGGUGAGUAACACGUGAGCAACCUGCCUUUCAGAGGGGGGAUAACGGCUGGAAACGGUCGCUAAUACCGCAUGAUGUGUUCGGAUGGCAUCAUCUGAACAUCAAAGAUUUAUCGCUAAAAGA